rnacentral:rRNA from 1 species
GAUCCUGGCUCAGGAUGAACGCUGGCGGCGUGCCUAAUACAUGCAAGUCGAGCGGCAGCGCGAGUAGUUUACUACUUGGCGGCGAGCGGCGGACGGCUGAGUAACGCGUAGGAACGUACCCCCAAAGUGAGGGAUAAGCACCAGAAAUGGUGUCUAAUACCGCAUGUGAUCUAAGGAUUAAAGCUUCGGCGCUUUGGGAACGGCCUGCGUUAGAUUAGCUUGUUGGUGAGGUAAAAGCUCACCAAGGCGACGAUCUAUAGCUGGUCUGAGAGGAUGAUCAGCCAGACUGGGACUGAGACACGGCCCCAGACUCCUACGGGAGGCAGCAGUGGGGAAUAUUGCACAAUGGGCGAAAGCCUGAUGCAGCGACGCCGCGUGAGCGAAGAAGUAUUUCGGUAUGUAAAGCUCUAUCAGCAGGGAAGAAAAUGACGGUACCUGACUAAGAAGCACCGGCUAAAUACGUG